rnacentral:rRNA from 1 species
UACGGAGGGUGCAAGCGUUAUCCGGAAUCAUUGGGUUUAAAGGGCCCGCAGGCGGACUUAUAAGUCAGUGGUGAAAGCCUACAGCUCAACUGUAGAACUGCCAUUGAUACUGUAAGUCUUGAAUUCGGUCGAAGUGGGCGGAAUAUGACAUGUAGCGGUGAAAUGCUUAGAUAUGUCAUAGAACACCGAUAGCGAAGGCAGCUCACUAGGCCUGGAUUGACGCUCAGGGACGAAAGCGUGGGGAGCAAACAGG